rnacentral:rRNA from 1 species
UACGGAGGGAGCUAGCGUUGUUCGGAAUUACUGGGCGUAAAGCGCACGUAGGCGGCUUUGUAAGUUAGAGGUGAAAGCCCGGGGCUCAACUCCGGAACUGCCUUUAAGACUGCAUCGCUUGAAUCCGGGAGAGGUGAGUGGAAUUCCGAGUGUAGAGGUGAAAUUCGUAGAUAUUCGGAAGAACACCAGUGGCGAAGGCGGCUCACUGGCCCGAUACUGACGCUGAGGUGCGAAAGCGUGGGGAGCAAACAGG